ACCCUUGCAUAAAUUAUACUCUCCAUACUUAUCUUGCUCUUGUUAAAUAAUCUUCAUAGUUGUAAAUUAAGUUUAAAUUUUUUAAAACCCAAUUCACCCCCCCUCUUGGGUUGCAUAGCUGGGCAACAAGGAAAGAAAACAAAGGUCCAAAAUAGGUCCAAAAUAAUUUAUUUGUUUAAAGAGCUAAGCAAGUAAUACUUAAAAUCCUAUGCUCCUCAC
rnacentral:lncRNA from 1 species